CUGCUAGGAUGAUCCCAUAUAUUUGCGUGAACUAAACCGUGUACGCAAAUGAGCUUUUUAACCCUGAGCAGG